GGCAGUGCUAGGCGGGGAUGCUCUGGGGCAAAGUCUGCAGCCGCCGCGCGUGAGCCUGGGGCUGCCGCUCCGCUGGUGUUACACGGUGUUACACCAGACGUUGAAGACUCGCUGAUUUUCGGACUUCCCAGCAAGAACGAGAAAGUAUAUCAUUUCCUUGUGAUCAUGCCUUUCUCAUUUUCCUUGAAUCUUUGGCUCCGCUGAGAGCUGGGAGCAGAGAUCAAAGGAGGAAAGCCGAGGGGCUGUGCUUAAGCAUCUGUGAGAGAGGAACUUGGAGACUCAAGCCACUUGCGGUCACCCCUCUCAGCCUGUAAUGUUUUUUAUGGCCUAAGCAUCCCCUACAUGACCUCCCGGUGGUCUCGGUAACCAUCUGGCACAGUGCUUUGAAAUUAACACUUUGAUCUGGAAUCCAUAGAACAACAGUUCCUGCUUGUUGCCACAUAUUUACAGAUGAGACAACUGGGAUGCAGUAAUAGUGCAAAACAGGUGGCAUCUUCAGGAAGAGCUAAGCUACUAAGGCCAACACCAGGAUUCUUUGGAUCCAUUGUCUCCCUGCUCUAUCUCUCCACACCCAAGAUUCUGUGUUAGGAAUGUGACUGGUGGGAGCACUGGAAAUGAGGUGCAGUGAGUCCUGGACUUCACAGCAGAGCAGCAUUGUCUUUGGAGAGGAUUACUUGGCUAGGAUAGAUUAUGUAACCCCGGUAAAGAAGAAUUUGAUAACUCGGAGUUGAAAGAAACUUUACAGCCCUGCUAUUCAAAAUGGCCCACAGUCAGCUUCUGUGUUACCUGGCUAUUUGGGAGAAAUGCAGAAUCUCUGGCUUAGCUCUAGGCCUACUAAAUCAGAAACCAUAUUUUGACAACCCCCCGAUUCUCCGCUCCUUCCAGCUCUACUCCUCUCUAGUUGUGAGUACAUUAAAAUUUGAGAAGUGUAGUUGUCACCCGGCCUAAUUACUUAUCAGGUACUCAGCUCAACUGUGUCAGUCUUACAAACAAAGGACUGAAGAAAGGUUGGUUUAUUGUAUUUUGGCACCUUCGAUUACUGUACAUACACACAAAAAACUGUAUUUACAUUGAGGUCUUCUUUGUAAGAACAGUUCCAUAACCCCCUGUUCAAACCAAUGGGCCUAGAGGUAUUCUGGUAAUCUAGAAUUGUGUAAUAAAGUACUCUUACAACACAAUAUGAAUAUUGAGCAAGAUAUUACAUUGAUUAUUUUGAUAUCACUUAUCAUGUAAAUAAAUGUAUUUUAGCAGAAGUUUGAUAGCACAAAGUUUUUAUAGGCACUAUUAGAUGUCAUUUGCAUUGCAG